AACGAACGCUGGCGGCGUGCCUAACACAUGCUAGUCGGAUGUGCCGCAAGGUGCAUGGCAGACGGGUGAGUAACGCGUGGGCAAUCUACCUUUUAGUGGGGAAUAACGUUCCGAAAGGAAUGGUAAUACCGCAUGUGAUCAUCGACUGGGAUGUUGGUGAUGAAAGCCGGGGACCGCAAGGCCUGGCGCUAGAAGAGGAGCCCGCGUCUGAUUAGCUAGUUGGUGGGGUAAUGGCCUACCAAGGCGACGAUCAGUAGCCGGCCUGAGAGGGUGAUCGGCCACACUGGAACUGAGACACGGUCCAGACUCCUACGGGAGGCAGCAGUGGGGAAUUUUGCGCAAUGGACGAAAGUCUGACGCAGCAACGCCGCGUGGGUGAUGAAGGUCUUCGGAUUGUAAAACCCUGUCGUCGGGGACGAAGGUGGGCGAUCUAAUAAAUCGUUUACUUGACGGUACCCGGAGAGGAAGCCCCGGCUAACUCCGUGCCAGCCGCCGCGGUAACAC
rnacentral:rRNA from 1 species